rnacentral:rRNA from 1 species
UACGUAGGGACCAAGCGUUGUUCGGAUUUACUGGGCGUAAAGGGCGCGUAGGCGGCGUGACAAGUCACUUGUGAAAUCUCCGGGCUUAACUCGGAACGGCCAAGUGAUACUGUCGUGCUAGAGUGCAGAAGGGGCAACUGGAAUUCUUGGUGUAGCGGUGAAAUGCGUAGAUAUCAAGAGGAACACCUGCGGCGAAGGCGGGUUGCUGGGCUGACACUGACGCUGAGGCGCGAAAGCUAGGGGGAGCGAACGGG